AUGUCAGAUGACUAUCCUCGAACACGCAAGUUGCCCAAGGAGGUGGAGCAGUUGGUGUUGCUUGACAUUAGGGCUAUGUUGCAGUCCAUGGGUAAAGACGUUGUUGAUUUCGCUCUUCCAAUCAUCGAUGAUGCGUUUGACCCAACCAAUGGUGAGUGUAGAGAGGUCAUAGAGGAAUCAACCAUUGAGUUUGACAUGGAUGACACUAAAUUGGCAUCUUCCCUGAACUUGGAGCAGAGGGCUGCAUACGAUGAGAUACUGGCGGUUGUUGAAUGUGGUGAUGGGGGUGUAUUCUUUGUUGAUGGCCCUGGAUGUACAGGGAAGACCUUCUUAUACAGGACGAUGCUUGCCAAGGUGAGGAGCAAGGGCAAGAUUGGUAUCGCUACCGCGACGUUGGGCGUCGCUGCUUCUAUAAUGCCUGGCGGCAGGACUGCACACUCGAGGUUCAAGAUACCACUGAGUUGCGAUGAUGGUGCCUCCUGCAGCUUCACCAAGCAAAGUGGGACUGCCAAGCUGCUUAGGAUGGCCUCAUUGAUAAUAUGGGACGAGGCCAGCAUGACGAAGCGACAAGCAGUUGAGGCAUUGGACAAUAGCAUGCGUGACAUCAUGAGAAUACGCGACCGACCCUUUGGAGGAAAGACUGUUGUUUUUGGUGGGGACUUUAGGCAGGUGCUUCCGGUUGUCAGAAGGGGGUCGCGGGGCCAGAUUAUUGAUGCAAGACCCCAAAGUUCUGAUCUAUGGAAGGGUAUGCGGCAACUUCGGCUCGUUACCAACAUGAGGGCUCAUAAUGACACUUGGUUUGCAGAUUACUUGCUUAGGGUCUGCAAUGGCACUGAGGAUGUCGACGAUCAAGGCAACAUACUACUCCCUAAAGACAUUUGUCUUCCUUCUAUAGACGAGGUUGACGACUUGGAGAAGCUUAUUGACCACGUGUUUCCGAGUGUAGAUGACAACAUGUCUGAUUCGAAUUACAUGACAUGUCGCGCAAUCCUCUCCACCACAAAUGAUGCUGGUUAA
rnacentral:rRNA from 1 species